CAUUUAUAUUAGCGCCUUACCAACUGCCGUGGAGGUCCUCCGACAGCAAUCACGCUCAAUAGCUGAACUUAAAAGAAAAUCACAGCUCAAGUUGUCUAAAUGGAACGAUGUCAAAACCAACGAAGAAGGCGAUGCCCACAAAUAUGUUGAAAUACAAUAUGUCUAUAUCUGCGUAUAUAUAAAGUGUCUAACUUAAGCAGACCGCUUUAAAAAUUGUAUAACC